CCUACGGGAGGCAGCAGUGGGGAAUAUUGCACAAUGGGCGAAAGCCUGAUGCAGCGACGCCGCGUGAAGGAUGAAGUAUUUCGGUAUGUAAACUUCUAUCAGCAGGGAAGAAAAUGACGGUACCUGACUAAGAAGCCCCGGCUAACUACGUGCCAGCAGCCGCGGUAAUACGUAGGGGGCAAGCGUUAUCCGGAUUUACUGGGUGUAAAGGGAGCGUAGACGGCUGUGCAAGUCUGAAGUGAAAGGCAUGGGCUCAACCUGUGGACUGCUUUGGAAACUGUGCAGCUAGAGUGUCGGAGAGGUAAGUGGAAUUCCUAGUGUAGCGGUGAAAUGCGUAGAUAUUAGGAGGAACACCAGUGGCGAAGGCGGCUUACUGGACGAUGACUGACGUUGAGGCUCGAAAGCGUGGGGAGCAAACAGGAUUAGAUACCCCAGUAGU
rnacentral:rRNA from 1 species